UACAGAGGUCUCAAGCGUUUGUUCGGAUUCAUUGGGCGUAAAGGGUGCGUAGGUGGCGCCGUAAGUCAGGUGUGAAAUUUCGGAGCUUAACUCCGAAACUGCAUUUGAUACUGCGGUGCUUGAGGACUGAAGAGGAGACUGGAAUUCCUGGUGUAGCGGUGAAAUGCGCAGAUAUCAGGAGGAACACCGGUGGCGAAGGCGGGUCUCUGGGCCGAAAUUGACGCUGAGGAGCGAAAGCGUGGGGAGCAAACAGG
rnacentral:rRNA from 1 species